rnacentral:rRNA from 1 species
AUUUGGAGGUUGUGCCCUUGAGGCGUGGCUUCCGGAGCUAACGCGUUAAAUCGACCGCCUGGGGAGUACGGCCGCAAGGUUAAAACUCAAAUGAAUUGACGGGGGCCCGCACAAGCGGUGGAGCAUGUGGUUUAAUUCGAUGCAACGCGAAGAACCUUACCUACUCUUGACAUCCAGAGAACUUUCCAGAGAUGGAUUGGUGCCUUCGGGAACUCUGAGACAGGUGCUGCAUGGCUGUCGUCAGCUCGUGUUGUGAAAUGUUGGGUUAAGUCCCGCAACGAGCGCAACCCUUAUCCUUUGUUGCCAGCGGUUCGGCCGGGAACUCAAAGGAGACUGCCAGUGAUAAACUGGAGGAAGGUGGGGAUGACGUCAAGUCAUCAUGGCCCUUACGAGUAGGGCUACACACGUGCUACAAUGGCAUAUACAAAGAGAAGCGACCUCGCGAGAGCAAGCGGACCUCAUAAAGUAUGUCGUAGUCCGGAUUGGAGUCUGCAACUCGACUCCAUGAAGUCGGAAUCGCUAGUAAUCGUAGAUCAGAAUGCUACGGUGAAUACGUUCUCGGGCCUUGUACACACCGCCCGUCACACCAUGGGAGUGGGUUGCAAAAGAAGUAGGUAGCUUAACCUUCGGGAGGGCGCUUACCACUUUGUGAUUCAUGACUGGGGUGAAGUCGUAACAAGGUAACCGUAGGGGAACCUGC